rnacentral:tRNA from 1 species
AGUGUAGCUCAACUGGUAGAGCACCGGUCUCCAAAACCGGGGGUUGGGGGUUCGAGCCCCUCCACU